UGGGGAAUAUUGGACAAUGGGCGAAAGCCUGAUCCAGCCAUGCCGCGUGUGUGAAGAAGGUCUUCGGAUUGUAAAGCACUUUAAGUUGGGAGGAAGGGUUGUAGAUUAAUACUCUGCAAUUUUGACGUUACCGACAGAAUAAGCACCGGCUAACUCUGUGCCAGCAGCCGCGGUAAUACAGAGGGUGCAAGCGUUAAUCGGAAUUACUGGGCGUAAAGCGCGCGUAGGUGGUCUGUUAAGUUGGAUGUGAAAUCCCCGGGCUCAACCUGGGAACUGCAUUCAAAACUGACUGACUAGAGUAUGGUAGAGGGUGGUGGAAUUUCCUGUGUAGCGGUGAAAUGCGUAGAUAUAGGAAGGAACACCAGUGGCGAAGGCGACCACCUGGACUAAUACUGACACUGAGGUGCGAAAGCGUGGGGAGCAAACA
rnacentral:rRNA from 1 species